AUUUUUUUUGGAAUUUUUGAAAUUUUCAACCUCGCAAAAAAAACCCUGAAUAUGGAAAUUUGUUUGGAAAAAAAUUCCACACAAACGUACCUGCCAAGGUCAACAUUUUUUCACUCUCUCCCACUUAUUUUUGUUGACCACACAAUACAUUUAAACACUCGUUCAUCGUAGAAAAAUUUUCAAAAUUUAUAUGUUAACUGUCCUUCUUGAAACUUGAAACUUGAAAAGCAAAAAAACAAAAUGGAAAUUCAAAAUACGUCAUCGUACGAUAAAAAAUGUUCCCUAUUAUGUAAUUACUGCACUAAAAAAUUUUCCAUUUAGCGGCUCGUUCUUUGUAACCAGGAAAUUAUUCUAAAAAGAAAAUAAACCGAGUCAGAAAAGUAGGUAGUUUUUGAAAAAAUAAAAAAAAACUUCUUAAUAUCUCUUAUUUUUCACAUAGACUAUGACGUAUUCAACUAGACACAUUAAGAAACACACAUUUCGUAAUUUUCGUAAAAUUUUUUCCUUGGUAAAAAAAAAAAUUACCAAAAAAUAAAUCAAAUUUUGUCCACCAUAUCACCGAAAUAUUAUAUCGAAGAAUGCAUUUACUUAGGUUAAGAAACCUACGAGCACAAAUAUAAAUCAUUAUAGUAGAAAUUUCACACGACUGAUAACAAUACAGGCAAUCUCGUAAAUUCAUACACAUGCACGAGUACAGCGAAUACUACGUGCGUAAAUAAGCUGUCGUAACUUGGUUAAAAAAUUCCAAAGUAGGCUACUAUAAAAGCGACAAUUUUAUAUAAACUUGUUACCUACCAAAAAAAAACCUCUCAGAUAGAGUUAAUUUCUAGCCACGUGAAUAUGCCUCGUACGAGUGCCAAGUUCGCUACGAAAGUGGUAUUAUGUUUGAUCGUAUUGAAUUCCUACUUCUGUAUCGCGGAUGAAGAAAGCAAGAAAGAGAAAAAAUCAUCGGACAACAAUCCACUUGCUGAUGAAAAUGAAAAAAAUGCCAGAGCUAUAGCUAAAGGUAUCGGCAAAAUACUUGGAUUGAAUAAGGAGCUGACAGAAAUCUUGGAAGCAGCUUUGGUAUUUGCCGGUCGAAACAUUGCGCAUAUUGUUAAGGCAAUUGCUGAAGGUCAGCCUAGCGAAGACAAAAAUAAAUACAAGAAAAUAGCAUCUGAAAUUGGCAAGAAUGUGGGAAAAGAAUUUGCUAAUGUACCUAUAAUACGUCCGUUGAUAAAACCGUAUGAGUCGUUUAUGCCACACGUAUUUUCCAUCGUGACUGUGCGUGUUACUGAAAUUGUUGAGAAGGUGGCUGAUGACGGGAAUGCUGAUGACGGGAAUUCAGAUGAAGAAAACUCAUCAAAAGAAAACGGUGUGAAUUCUUUUUUUCAAAAUUUUUUUAAAUCUUAGGCAGGUGGUAAAGUAGGCUACAGAGUUAUGAAAAUGGAAAAUAUUUAUACACAAAUAUUAAACUCUAAAUGGGUAUAAAAAGAAAUGGCCGCCAUCAGUGCCGGGAAAUUAUUGUUGCAAGGGUACGUCUACGUGAAGUCAAAGAAAAGUCCAGAUGGAACGAAAACGUAUUGGGAUUGCCGAAGAGUGAGGCUGUAAGAGUGCAAAGGGAGCAGGACGUCGUAAGUGGAUGGAAUUUCAACAGCGACUUCGCACAAUUACCCUGAGAUACGAGGACUACAUGGACGAAGGUACAGAACUAGAAUACCUCCGCUCUUUAGGUAAUAACAUCAAUCUUUAAGAUUAAAAAAUUAAAAAAAUUUUUAACUCAAUUUUUUUUCAAUUUUCGGGUGUAGGUCUUUCGGGGAAACGGAUUCGGGGAAAUGGAUUCGGGAUAAAAAAAUUCGGGAUUUUGGUAUUCGGGAAAACGUCUUUCGGGGAAGUGGAUUCGGGGAAGUGUCCGGUUACCAAUUUUUCUAUUCAAAAAUGAAAUUUUUUUUUUCUUCUUAUUUGCUAAAAGUGAACAUUAUGGUUAUUGAAAAUGAAAAUUUUUUUCAAAAAUGAAAAUUUUUUUAUUUAGAAAAAUACACAUGACUGUUUUUGCUAAAAAUGAACAUUUUCUGGUUGAAAAGUGGACAUUGUUUGUUGGAAAUCAACAUUAUUGUCAAAAAUGAAAUUUCCAUCUAAAUGAGCUCAUUUGUUAAAGAUUAGGUACCUACCUACCUAAGUUAACUUUUUUUAGUUGAAAUUUUUUUUUCGGUUAAAAGAAAACAUUAUUUGUGGAGAAUCUAUUUUAAAAUGUACAUUGUCUAAAAUAAACAUUUAUUGUAUGAAAACAA